AAAAGUCGCACGCUUCGUCUUCAAGAAUUGUGACCUCUGAUUUAUAGGGUUGAUGUUCUUCAGCCUCUGCUUCGAUAAACUGACCACUGAGUUUAACAAAGGUUAUAGAAGAGUAUCAUGGCUAAUCUAUAAAUCAAAGCUGCCGUUAAUGUUGUUUCUUCUCGAGGGCUCUCUCUACUUUGCGGUUUUAUGGAAGUCAUCUCUUCUUCACUCAAAACUGUAAUCUCAUCCCCAAGAUAUCUCUCUCUCUCCCCAUCCUCACUCGAGCUUCCUCCAAAAACACUAAGUCGUCAAUACCCGCUUCUGGUCCUGUUUCUGCAACCACCGUGGAGAUUCCGAAACCUGCUUCUGUAGAGGAGGUGUCGGUUAAAUCUCCGACGGAGAUGUGACUGAUUUGCCAACCACCACGACGGAAAUCAUGUUUCAGGAUGCAAAGUGGGUUAAUGGAACUUGGGAUCUGAAACAGUUCGAGAUUUGUAUUAAUGUUUUGAGAUUCAGUGAUAGUUACUGGUUAGAUCCUCUAAAGCUUGAAUCUUUAUUUCAGUCACUCAUGUUCUGUAAUUUGUAUUGUUCUGUAAUUUGUAUUAAUGUUUUGUUUCAAAGUGAUAAUGUUUGAAACAUAACGAUGUAGUUUUAAAAACGAGAAUUCGGCCAAAAAAACCCUCAACUUUACACGAAUUGCCAAAACAAACAUGAAUUUUGGGGCUGGCCAAAAAAACACCAAACUUUCAUUGACUUUAGAAUUAAUUAACAAUGUUUUCGCUGACUUGCCAAUUUAGCACGCCGUCAACAAAUUUAACAGAAAUAUUUGACGUCGUUUAUUAUUGACGUUAAGUGAAACGACGUCGUUUUCAAAUGAGAUGAAACGACGUCGUUUUACACGAUUUGAAAUUAAAAAUAUGUAAACCCCUGGAUUCGAACCCAGGUUGGUUGGUUAAAUGGGAAGGUAUUUUACCACUGGGCUACUGGCACUUUCAAUGUACAUACUAACAUGUUUAUUUUUAUUUGGUACAUAUUAAAUAUAAAAAAUUCUCUAAAAACUUAAUAAGAUCUUUAAAAUUCCAAAAAAUUAAAAAAUAAAGAAGAUUUUUAUAAAAUUAAUUUAGAAAUUAAAAUUAAAAAUAAGAUUUUAUUUUUAUUUUUUAAAAAUAAAAACUCUUCCAAAAUUUUCUAAAAACUUAAAACGAUCUUUAAAAUUCCAAAAAAUUGAAAAAAUAAAGAAAUUUUUUAUAAAAUUAAUUUUGAAAUUAAAAUAGAAAAUAAAAUUUUAUUUUUUCUUUUCAAAAAAAUAAAAAAUCUUCCAAAAUUUUCAAUUUUUUUAAUACAUUUGCUAAAAGUUGAAAUUAAUUAUACACACAUAAAAAGUUGAUAAUUCUAACUUUAAUUUUUUGCAUUUUAUUAUAAUUUUUAAAAAUUUGGAUUUUUUUAAAAAAUGAAAAUUUUGGAAUUUUUUUGAUUUUUUAAAGAAAAAUAAAUAUUUAAUUUUAAUUCAAAAUUAAUUUUAUGAAAUUUUUGGAAGAUUUUUUUAUUUUUUUAAAGGAAAAUAAUUUUUUUUUUAAAGAAAAAUAAAAUUUUAUUUUCAAUUUUAAUUUCAAAAUUUAUGUUAUAAAAAUUUUCUUUAAUUUUUUGGAAUUUAAAGUUCGUUUUAAUUUUUUAGAAAGAAAAAUAAAAUCUUAUUUUUAAUUUUAAUUUCUAAAUUAAUUUUAUAAAAAUCUUCUUUAUUUUUUAAUUUUUUGGAAUUUUAAAGAUCUUAUUAAGUUUUUAGAGAAUUUUUUAUAUUUAAUAUGUACCAAAUAAAAAUAAACAUGUUAGUAUGUACAUUGAAAGUGCCAGUAGCCCAGUGGUAAAAUACCUUUUCAUUUGACCAACCAACCUGGGUUCGAAUCCAGGGGUUCACAUAUUUUUAAUUUCAAAUCGUGUAAAACGACGUCGUUUCAUCUCAUUUGAAAACGACGUCGUUUUACUUAACGUCAACAAUAAACGACGUCAAAUAUUUCUGUUAAAUUUGUUGACGGCGUGCUAAAUUGGCAAGUCAGCGAAAACAUUGUUAAUUAAUUCUAAAGUCAAUGAAAGUUUGGUGUUUUUUUGGCCACCUCCAAAGUUCAUGUUUGUUUUGGCAAUUCGUGUAAAGUUGAGGUUUUUUUUGGCCGAAUUCUCUUUUAAAAACAGAUAAUGUCAGUCAAGGCUAUGUUACGAGGAAGCUUCACGCUUUAGUUUUGUAAUGAGGUAUAGGAAGAUGUGAUUGAUUGUGUUAUGUGUGCUAUUACUUUGCUUAUAGAGACAAAGAGGAGAAAGUGGCUUGAAGAUAACCUAUAAACAACUACCAACGACGAGCCUUUUCUCUUCCGUACCUUGAUUAUCCCAUGGUGGGCAUGGAUGAAGCGACACCAUCCACCAGAAGCUGUGAACUCCUCAAUAAAUGGUAAUUUCC
rnacentral:lncRNA from 1 species